GAUAAACGCUGGCGGCGCACAUAAGACAUGCAAGUCGAACGGAAGUCGUUAUACAAGGAGAGAAGAUUUAUCGGAUUGAAUUAUAUAACAAUGGCUUUAGUGGCGGACUGGUGAGUAACGCGUAAGAAAUCUACCUAUCAGAGGGGAACAACAAUGAGAAAUCAUUGCUAAUACCGCAUAUGCCAUAAACAUCGCAUGAUGAAAGUGGGAAAGGAGCAAUCCGCUGAUAGAUGAUCUUGCGUCUGAUUAGUUAGUUGGUGGGGUAAUGGCCUACCAAGACGACGAUCAGUAGCCGGACUGAGAGGUUGAACGGCCACAUUGGGACUGAGAUACGGCCCAGACUCCUACGGGAGGCAGCAGUCGGGAAUAUUGCGCAAUGGAGGAAACUCUGACGCAGUGACGCCGCGUGCAGGAAGAAGGUUUUCGGAUUGUAAACUGCUUUAGACAGGGAAGAGAAAGGACAGUACCUGUAGAAUAAG
rnacentral:rRNA from 1 species